GGCAUUCAUUAAUGAAGUGUUUAAAAAUACUGACUCAGAGUAAGUUACCUCUCUGUCAGAAACGGUCUUGACAAACCUCCCGUUCUGAAACAGAAAACCUAGAGUUUCCCUCAUUUCAGGGUUAACAUACUCAGAGUUUUCACUUAACGUCCUUUGUAAAACAGGCUCCGGGCGGUUUCUGAACCAAUGCUUAGAAACAAAGAUUCAAAAAUGAUUCGAAGCCUCAUGAAUACUCGAAAGCGGCUCUCGGUGAUCCCUGGAGCCACCGCUGGGGGCAGUAGAGCGCUGCCGAGGCUCUGCCUGAGAUCAAAACGGAAGAAGACUCACUCCAUGUGCGCUUCGAGCAGCGGUGAGGGUCGAAGAUUGGCAGCAACAAGUCGAAGUGGACGAGACCGGAGUCACGUGUAGGAUUCAUCUCAGCACGUGUUCUGUUGGUGUGAUUAGUUAUUAAUAAUGAGAUCUGGGGAAUAACUUGUUCUUGUCUGUUAUGGUGUGAGACUUACAUUUUGUAGUUCUGUUCUGUGAAAUCCAAUAAAUGUGUUUUUUCAACAGUCA